CCUACGGGGGGCUGCAGUGGGGAAUAUUGGACAAUGGGCGAAAGCCUGAUCCAGCCAUGCCGCGUGUGUGAAGAAGGCCUUCGGGUUGUAAAGCACUUUCAGUGGGGAAGAAAGCCUUGGGGCUAAUACCCUCGAGGAAGGACAUCACCCACAGAAGAAGCACCGGCUAACUCCGUGCCAGCAGCCGCGGUAAUACGGAGGGGUGCGAGCGUUAAUCGGAAUUACUGGGCGUAAAGCGCGCGUAGGCGGUCUGAUAAGCCGGUUGUGAAAGCCCCGGGCUCAACCUGGGAACGGCAUCCGGAACUGUCAGGCUAGAGUGCAGGAGAGGAAGGUAGAAUUCCCGGUGUAGCGGUGAAAUGCGUAGAGAUCGGGAGGAAUACCAGUGGCGAAGGCGGCCUUCUGGACUGACACUGACGCUGAGGUGCGAAAGCGUGGGUAGCAAACAGGAUUAGAUACCCCAGUAGUC
rnacentral:rRNA from 1 species